rnacentral:tRNA from 1 species
GGGGGUUUAGCUCAGUGGUAGAGCGCUCGGUUUGCAUCCGAGAGGCCGUGGGUUCAAACCCCACAUCCUCCA